GGACAUCAAGUGCAGAUUGUUCCGGCAACCAAAGCAUGUCACUGUUCAGUUUGACAACCGACACGAUGGGAGCAAAAACUAUUCUAGUCCUAGCGAUGAUGGCCAUCCUAAUUUCCGUAUCAGCAGCCGGUCUUCUGGAUGGUGGUGGCGGAAAGUCAACCAUAAAACUUAAUGGUGAACAUGUCAUCUAGACCUCAGGCAACGGUCGAUUAUCUGGCGUAGCGAAAGAAGUAGCGAAUUUCGAUUCAAAACUGAAUUUUGUGUCAAAGCAAGACGACCGUUUGGACGAAAUUCAACUAUUUUGCUCAGUAAAAUUAACAAAUAUGAUGAAUCUUAAUAAAUAGCACUAUUUGCACUUCAAGGAAA